ensembl:lncRNA
ACGGUACAGAGUCAAUGUGGAGGCUAUAUACAGGGGGUACUUGUACAGAGUCAAUGUGGAGGCUAUAUACAGGGGGCACCGGUACAGAGUCAAUGUGGAGGAUAUAUACAGAGGGGUACCGGUACAGAGUCAAUAUGGAGGCUAUAUACAGGGGGUACCGGUACAGAGUCAAUGUGGAGGCUAUAUACAGGGGGUACCAGAGUCAAUGUGGAGACUAUAUACAGGGGUACCAGUACAGAGUCAAUGUGGAGGCUAUAUACAGGGGGUACCAGUACA